UGAAGACAUAUCAGGAAAGUCUUUAAACAUCCCCAAUAAAUAACUCCUGGAUUCCCAAGGGCAAUGAGGAGCUACUGCAGUUUUCCUGGGAGGAAAAGAUGCAUGGGACAAUUGUUAAUCAGGAGCUCAGUGGGAUAUGGAUAAUUCAAGUAUCCAGAGGAUUUAAUGCAAAUAAGCGCACAUACCCUCUCUUCCAUGUCAUCAGACUAUCCCAGCGUUUUCACAACCUUGUUAUGCAAAGAAUGGUCCCUGGCCCAGCACCUUGAGAUCAUCUGGGAGUAUGUAAGAAAUGCCAAAAUUCCAGCCUCACCUCCAAACUGCUGAAUCAGAGUCCCCAUAUUUCUCAGAUCCCGGGGUGAUUCCCAUGAAGAAUGUUUGAGAAGCACUCUUUACAAGAUUCUACUUCUAUAUAUUUCAUAUUUGUAGUAAAUUUCAUCAAAACAA